rnacentral:rRNA from 1 species
UACAGGGGGGGCAAGCGUUGUUCGGAAUUACUGGGCGUAAAGGGCUCGUAGGUGGCCAACUAAGUCGGACGUGAAAUCCCUCAGCUUAACUGGGGAACUGCAUCCGAUACUGGAUGGCUUGAGUUUGGGAGAGGGAUGCGGAAUUCCAGGUGUAGCGGUGAAAUGCGUAGAUAUCUGGAGGAACACCGGUGGCGAAGGCGGCAUCCUGGACCAACACUGACACUGAGGAGCGAAAGCCAGGGGAGCAAACAGGG